CUGUAGCGGGAGGACAUAUCAUACGCGGAGGAGCAUAUCAAUAAGCGGAGGAGCAUAUCAAUAAGCGGAGGAGCUUAUCAAUAAGGGGAAAACCCUAUUCACUUAUAAACGCAAAGUCUAUGAAUGUAUUUAAUUUUAUAACAAAAUAAAACUUUCAACAACGGAUCUCUUGGCUCUCGCAUCGAUGAAGAACGCAGCGAAAUGCGAUAAGUAAUGUGAAUUGCAGAAUUCAGUGAAUCAUCGAAUCUUUGAACGCACCUUGCGCUCCAUGGUAUUCCGUGGAGCAUGCCUGUUUGAGUGUCAUGAAUACUUCAACCCUCCUCUUUCUUUAUGAUCGAAGAGGUGUUUGGAUUCUGAGCGUUUUGCUGGCCUCACGGUCGAGCUCGCUCGUAAUGCAUUAGCAUCCGCAAUCGAACUUCGGAUUGACUUGGCGUAAUAGACUAUUCGCUGAGGAAUUCUAGUCUUCGGACUAGAGCCGGGUUGGAUUAAAGGAAGCUCCUAAUCCUAAUGUCUAUUUUUAAGAUUAGAUCUCAAAUCAGGUAGGACUACCCGCUGAACUUAAGCAUAUCAAUAAGCGGAGGAA
rnacentral:rRNA from 1 species